rnacentral:rRNA from 1 species
UGGGGAAUAUUGGACAAUGGAGGGAACUCUGAUCCAGCAAUUCUGUGUGCACGAUGACGGUUUUCGGAUUGUAAAGUGCUUUUAGUUGGGAAGAAACAAAUGACGGUACCAACAGAAGAAGCGACGGCUAAAUACGUGCCAGCAGCCGCGGUAAUACGUAUGUCGCAAGCGUUAUCCGGAAUUAUUGGGCUUAAAGGGCAUCUAGGCGGCAAAGCAAGUUGAAGGUGAAAAGCUGUGGCUCAACCAUAGUCUUGCCUACAAAACUGCUUUACUAGAGUACUGGAAAGGUGGGUGGAACUACACGAGUAGAGGUGAAAUUCGUAGAUAUGUGUAGGAAUGCCGAUGAUGAAGAUAACUCACUGGACAGAAACUGACGCUGAAGUGCGAAAGCUAGGGGAGCAAACA